ensembl:lncRNA
AUAAAAUAAACAUUUAUCUGCGUUAACCACUCCAGUCAACAGAUGGCGAUAUGCGUUUUUCAGGCGAUGCUAUCAGAGUGACGUAUAAUGUAGUGGACGGGACGCUUCUUCAACAACAUCUCGUCAGCCACCUCGGUAGCUUCCUAGCGGAAACGUUCAAGCUGUUCAGACUGCUUCGGUCUAUAUUUACUUCUGUUUUUGGAACAUAAUUCUGUCUUUUAUCUAGUUUCCCCAUUUCAUGUCAUAUUUCCGUUUAGUCAGGUAACGGUAGCUGGCUUGAUAAAUGAGCCUAUCACUAGGCUAGUCGCUAACUAGCUAGGUUAGCUGGCUAACAUCCCCGACCAUGCGCUCAGCAAGCUGCUGCCCUCCUGCUAAAAAAGAGGUCUGCUGGAAGGAGAAAGAAGGUAUUUGGCUGAACGUUGUCGUGAAAGAGGAGAAUGAAGAGGAGGAUGUCACAGUAAACGAAGAAGUCGAGGGUGAGGCUGUUACACAGAAAGAAGAGGAAGAAAACGAUUAUACUUUAUUUGGAGUGAAUGAAGGAGAGAUAACUGUCCUAUUGAAGGAGGAGGAGAGGGAAGAAGAGGAGGAGACAGAAGAUCUGAGUAACACCAGAGAGAGACCAGGCUCUCCUUCUGACAGCAGGAAGAGUCCUUCAGGGAAACCAGACCCCGAGACGUCCUAACCAGCAGGACGACAUCACUGCUCCCAGUGUGGAAAGAGUUUUACUCAGUUAGGGAGCCUGAGAACACAUAAGAGAAUACACACUGGAGAGAAGCCUUACCACUGUUCCCAAUGUGGAAUGUCGUUUACCCAGUUAGGGAGCCUGCAAACGCAUGAGAGGGGACACACAGGGGAAAAGCUUUUCCAAUGUUCCCAUUGUGGAAAGAGUUUUGGCCAGGUAGGAAACCUGAACAAGCAUGAGAGGACACACACAGGUAAGAAGAUGUACCGCUGCUCCCAUUGUGGAGAGAGAUUUACCCGGUUAAGGUACCUGAAAGAGCAUGAAGGAAUACAUACAAAUACACAGGAGGAGAAGACAUACCACUGCUCUCAUUGUGGAAAGACCUUUUCCCAGUCAGAGAACCUGAAAACACACGAGAGAAUCGAGAGGCUGUGUUCUGACUUGUGUUUUUGACUGAGAAUGUGUGUGUUUGUUUGGGCUGUCAGACUUGAGUUCACUUUGUGUAAUGUUAGUGCACUAUUUUUAAUUGUGAUUAAUCCAUUGUCUGAAAGGGUUAAAAAAACACUGAAAACAUCCAGAAUACAUCCUAUAUACAGCUACAAUCUACAAUGCCAUGUAAACACAAGAUGACAUUGAGGUUAAAUAAAGUGUGAUUUAUCAAUGGAACAUAUUUUGACACGUCCACUGUGUGUCUCUGUAGAGUCAUAAUAUCCAUAACAACUAGAGGUCAAACAGGGAGAUGGUUCCAUUCAUUUUCCCCACAGGGCUGUGUUUUGUUUAGACUCACCCUGGUGUGAUGUUUUGAUAACCAUGUAAACCUCUCUGGGACAAGGUGACUGAGGACACAGUGUGUUGUCAAUGUAUUGUCAUGUUUUUAAAAUGGUACAAAUGCCUUUAUUUUAGCUGGACCCCAGGAAGAGUAGCUGCUGCCUUGGCAGGAACUAAUGGGGAUCCAUAAUAAACCCCAGGAAGAGUAGCUGCUACCUUGGUAGGAACUAAUGGGGAUCCAUAUUAAA